rnacentral:rRNA from 1 species
UAGGGAAUCUUCGGCAAUGGACGAAAGUCUGACCGAGCAACGCCGCGUGAGUGAAGAAGGUUUUCGGAUCGUAAAACUCUGUUGGUAGAGAAGAACGUUGGUGAGAGUGGAAAGCUCAUCAAGUGACGGUAACUACCCAGAAAGGGACGGCUAACUACGUGCCAGCAGCCGCGGUAAUACGUAGGUCCCGAGCGUUGUCCGGACUUAUUGGGCGUAAAGCGAGCGCAGGUGGUUUAUUAAGUCUGGUGUAAAAGGCAGUGGCUCAACCAUUGUAUGCAUUGGAAACUGGUAGACUUGAGUGCAGGAGAGGAGAGUGGAAUUCCAUGUGUAGCGGUGAAAUGCGUAGAUAUAUGGAGGAACACCGGUGGCGAAAGCGGCUCUCUGGCCUGUAACUGACACUGAGGCUCGAAAGCGUGGGGAGCAAACAGGAUUAGAUACCCUGGUAGUCCACGCCGUAAACGAUGAGUGCUAGAUGUAGGGAGCUAUAAGUUCUCUGUAUCGCAGCUAACGCAAUAAGCACUCCGCCUGGGGAGUACGACCGCAAGGUUGAAAC